rnacentral:lncRNA from 1 species
GGCCAGACCUUCUGGUAGAGCACAGUUAAAAGUAACAUAAUUCUGGGCCUUUAUAAUCUGAGGGAAAUGGCUCCAGUUGGCAGUCUUCUUGUUAACAUAUGAAGCCCAAACGUGGGAAAUGGUUGGCAAAGAAUAUUUUCACAUAAAAAAAAGAAUAUGAAAAGAUAUAAAACUGGAUUAUUCAUUUAGCUCUGAAAAAUCUCAAAAAGAUAUAGUAAAAUACUAUAUAACUGGACAAAACCUGAAGAACCUAUAGAGGAUUUAUGUGAAAACAGGCUUCAAGGAUGAACUGUUACAUGCUCACCAGUUUGCUUAAGUUCGAUCAACCUUUUCUUAAAGUAAGAUAUUUGUGGACUUCUAGGAACUAGCGAUUAGCAGGUGUCCUAAAAAGAUUUUUGAGCUGAUUCCCUCAUAAGUAGCCCUAUAUGCUCUUGAAGAUUCUUACCCUUCCUCUAGUGAUCCUAAGGGAGGAAUGAGGAGUGCUCUUUAGGGUGGCAACCUGCCCUGGCAUGUCUGGGACUGAGGUGGUCCCCUUGGAUGCAAAACUUUGUGAGUGCUAAACCCAGGAAAGCCCAGGCCCACACAGCAAGGAGGAGCUGAUAGCCCUGGCUAUUCUUGUGACUUAACCUCACCUUAAACAUUGUACUAGUUUCAAUUAAGUUCAAUUGCCUUACGGCACGUGUCCUCCGGUCACUUAUUACUGUGGAUGGAAUGUGAGAUUUAAGACAAAUAAUAGCUAAUGGCACCAACGUGCUCUUGGUAGUGAGACUAACAGUAAUCCAGGAAAGAUACCCGGUGGUUGAAUGAAACAGAAGAGGCAACUAGACAGUGAAGUUCUUCAGAACCUGUGUGUAUAUGUUCUUAAUUCCGGUUGUCCCUGGCCAUCAUCACAUGACAGAAUGUUACAUGAUUCACACCACUUUCAAAACCUUUCUGGGACUUCUUACGUGCAAAGGAGCUGUUUGCCUCUUGUACCUCACGCUGACCCUUUCUGGAGACCUGGCAUGCUUUAGGGAAGCUUCACCAGUAAGAACAACGGAUCACAAACGAGGCCCGUGUGACGCUGGUUCCCUAAUGCAAGAGCGGAGAGCGGAGAAAGUUGAAGGAGAAGCGCUCUUCCGGUUCCCGGGCCCCCUGCCCCGUGCACGCAGGGCCGCGCGGCGACGCGGAC